rnacentral:rRNA from 1 species
UACGUAGGGAGCAAGCGUUGUCCGGAAUCAUUGGGCGUAAAGCGCGCGUAGGCGGCCCCGUAAGUCCGCUGUGAAAGUCAAAGGCUCAACCUUUGAAAGCCGGUGGAUACUGUGGGGCUAGAGUCCGGAAGAGGCGAGUGGAAUUCCUGGUGUAGCGGUGGAAUGCGCAGAUAUCAGGAGGAACACCAAUAGCGAAGGCGGGACUCUGGGCCGAUACUGACGCUGAGGAGCGAAAGCGUGGGGAGCAAACAGG